AACCAAAUAGCAAUGUGUGGGUCACAAAGGCCGUAGAACGGAUGACCGGUGAAGCAGAAGAGUUCUGGGGUAGAGACCGAGGACACAAGUGUAAGACGCUUGAAGAUUACAUGGAUAAAUGACAUACAUGGCCGGAAAAUCCUGGAUGCAAAUAAUCCAAGAACGAAAACAAAGGCGUGAAAACCAGAACACUCAGUAAUGCAUGAUUUUAGGCUGAAAAGGAAGAAGAAGAACAACACCUUUACUACCGGAUCCUUCCCGCUUACUACGAAGUUUGGAUCGGAGGACCAAGCGUAAAAAAUAUUCUCUCCAUAAUCAUUCUGGUAUCACGGACAGUCUUUUAUACAGAGCAUGCAUGGAGGGGGAGAAAACCGCCGAACAUAUCCUACUCCGCAAUGCUCCGGCGUGGCCAACUACAGGGUGAAAUACCUCGGGGUGCCGAGGUCGCUCCCCGAAGUCCUCGAAAAACACAAAAAGGGUCUAAGCCCUGCACCCACCACACGCAAAAUAGGCGUGUGGACGUCGAGUUGCGGACAAUAGCCAGUUAUACCAUUAAUACUGAUCACAAAUCCCUAAAAGUUAUUGGAGUUUGUGACAGAUAGAGCACAGUCAAUGUAUUAUCAUCCAUCCGGUAUACAUUGGUAAAUAGGGAUAAUAAACAUAUUAUUUUGAUUUGACUAGUUUUAAAUUAUAGUAAAAAGUAUAUCAUUUAUGAGAAAAUUUUAAAUAAAAAUAUGUAUUAAUUGCAUAUUUAUUGAUAAUUUAUAGAUUGCUUCAACAUAGCAGGGUCAAUGUAUUUGUAAGACGCGAUUAUAUGUGAU